rnacentral:rRNA from 1 species
CGGAACGUGCCCAGUAGCGGGGGAUAACUACGCGAAAGCGUAGCUAAUACCGCAUACGCCCCACGGGGGAAAGCAGGGGAUCGCAAGACCUUGCACUAUUGGAGCGGCCGAUAUCGGAUUAGCUAGUUGGUGAGGUAAUGGCUCACCAAGGCGACGAUCCGUAGCUGGUUUGAGAGGACGACCAGCCACACUGGGACUGAGACACGGCCCAGACUCCUACGGGAGGCAGCAGUGGGGAAUUUUGGACAAUGGGGGAAACCCUGAUCCAGCCAUCCCGCGUGUGCGAUGAAGGCCUUCGGGUUGUAAAGCACUUUUGGCAGGAAAGAAAUGGCGUGUGUUAAUACCAUGCGCAGAUGACGGUACCUGCAGAAUAAGCACCGGCUAACUACGUGCCAGCAGCCGCGGUAAUACGUAGGGUGCAAGCGUUAAUCGGAAUUACUGGGCGUAAAGCGUGCGCAGGCGGUUCGGAAAGAAAGAUGUGAAAUCCCAGGGCUCAACCUUGGAACUGCAUUUUUAACUACCGGACUAGAGUAUGUCAGAGGGAGGUGGAAUUCCACGU